CGGUAACAUUUCUAGCUUGCUAGAAGAUGACGAGUGGCGGACGGGUGAGUAAUACUUAGGAAUAUGCCUUUGUGUGGGGGAUAACUAUUGGAAACGAUAGCUAAUACCGCAUAACGUCUUCGGACCAAAGGGGGCUUCGGCUCCCGCGCAAAGAGUAGCCUAAGCGAGAUUAGCUUGUUGGUGAGGUAAAGGCUCACCAAGGCGACGAUCUCUAGCUGUUCUGAGAGGAAGAUCAGCCACACUGGGACUGAGACACGGCCCAGACUCCUACGGGAGGCAGCAGUGGGGAAUAUUGCACAAUGGGGGCAACCCUGAUGCAGCCAUGCCGCGUGUGUGAAGAAGGCCUUCGGGUUGUAAAGCACUUUCAGUUGUGAGGAAAGGUUGGUGGUUAAUACCCAUCAGCUGUGACGUUAGCAACAGAAGAAGCACCGGCUAACUCCGUGCCAGCAGCCGCGGUAAUACGGAGGGAGCUAGCGUUGUUCGGAAUUACUGGGCGUAAAGCGCGCGUAGGCGGCUUUGCAAGUAGGGGGUGAAAUCCCGGGGCUUAACCCCGGAACUGCCCUCUAAACUGCAGAGCUAGAAUCCUGGAGAGGUGAGUGGAAUUCCUAGUGUAGAGGUG
rnacentral:rRNA from 1 species